GUCUGCGACUUUCCCCCUCCACCGGAACCCUUGUUAUCGUUCGAGUCGUCAUUAGACACCGCCACGUUUAUGUCCUUGUACCUGAUGUUAUCAGUAGGCAGUACCGUAUAGUUUAGGUACAUAGAUUACGUCACUGACGCGCACGCGCACGCGCGGCAAUCGACGUUCAAACAGCAUUAGGUACUCGACAUCGAAUCUUAGAAAAGUGCCAACAUUUCCUGGAACAAACAUCAUUACUGCAGCAGCAAAAAGGAAAUGGGCGCGGGCCGCUUUGCACGGCGAAUAUCAAUGACAUAAUCCGUUGCGCUCUUGUUAUCGUCGGCGUUCCAGUCAUAUUAGAACCCAGUGGCCUGGCACUCGAUGAUGGCAAUAGACCAGAUGGUGUGUCGUUAUUUCCGUGGAAGAUGGAAGUUCGUUAGUAUCGGACGUGACCUGACUGUGUCGAUACUCUUGCACCAUCCCACCUUCCUAGCUCGGCGCGAUGAACUGGUUCCGCUGCUGCGGCUGCAGAGAACCUCCAACCCUGGCAGAGCUCAUCUGCUUUAUAAAGCUCCGGCAAAGCGACUUUCUGACACUUCAAGGGACCCAAAGGCUGUUUUUUUUUUGUCAAAAAUUAAGCAUUGCCAUCCACCAACGUGGCAAUGCUGCCAGCCUCUCGGGUACACUACCGGUGGGCAGUGAUGAGGAGUUUUUAAUGCCAUUUUAUAAUGAUUAUUAUUGUUUUAAGUUGUAUACAGAGUAUUCCGUACCCAAUCACAUUAAAAUUAAAUAGGUUAAUAUAUUUGUCGAUAAUAUGUCGAUUAAUACAAAGAAAAAAAAUUAAAUACAUUUCAAACAAAGCAAAUAAAAUAAAAAUGUCCGAGAAUUAGAAUACCAUCAAAGAAUACCAUGUAAGAAUCAGAUUAACAACGUAAAUUCUCCCUUUAAAACUGACAGCUGUCAACUGGUCAAAACAUUCGAUACUCCUAACUUUAUCUUUUCUUUGCUUUAUACACAUGAUGUUGUAAAUUAUGAAAACCACCGAAUGGAUUAGGUUAUUUUUUUACAAUUCGCCAUAGAAUAUCAUAAAUGUGAUACAAUUUAAUAUGCUUAGGUAUGUAUAGUCUGGCCAACGAAAGCUGACCACGAAUUAUUUUCUAAACUUUUAAUAUGGCAAUAUUUUAGAACUGUCAAAAUGUCCCAUUGACGUUUCUUAAUAAAGUCAGUUUGUUAUUUUAUUUCAUCUUAUUUUCAUUGGUUUUGUAUAAAAUAAUGCCGAAAACAAUCAAAAGUUCGACGAGAAAGCUUCUAUUUACUAUGAUUGACUAAUAUAAAGACGUACAAAGUGAUUUGAAUCAGAAGUUUGCAGAGAAAAUACGACGACUGUAUUCAGUCAUUUCACUUUUAGAUAAUAUUGACGAGGACAACGACUACGGGGAAACAAAACUUACAACUGCGGAAAUUGUAAAGAAAUUAAAAUAUCUAUUCCAUCAAAUAAACGUUUUGUAAUAACUUUUUUUUUAAUUCAUCCCUGUGGACUUCAAUGCAUGCAGAAGUUAAAAAAUGCCAUACCCUGGCUAUGCUAUGGCAUUUUUUAAUAAUGUUAUUACAGUCGUAAUGUUCUGAUAUGAAAGACAUAUAAAUAUCGCUUAUUAGUUUAGAAUAAUAAUAAGUAUCAACUCCGUUUAAGCAGCGUAUAGCCGGGGUUGCCAGCUCUUGAUUUUUUAAAAUUGCCGCCUUUUUUCGUGGACAGCUUUCGUUGGCCAGACUCUA